GUGCACGCUGGCGGUAGGCCUAACCCAUGCAAGUCGAACGGCAGCACAGUAAGAGCUUGCUCUUACGGGUGGCGAGUGGCGGACGGGUGAGGAAUACAUCGGAAUCUACUUUUUCGUGGGGGAUAACGUAGGGAAACUUACGCUAAUACCGCAUACGACCUACGGGUGAAAGCAGGGGAUCUUCGGACCUUGCGCGAUUGAAUGAGCCGAUGUCGGAUUAGCUAGUUGGCGGGGUAAAGGCCCACCAAGGCGACGAUCCGUAGCUGGUCUGAGAGGAUGAUCAGCCACACUGGAACUGAGACACGGUCCAGACUCCUACGGGAGGCAGCAGUGGGGAAUAUUGGACAAUGGGCGCAAGCCUGAUCCAGCCAUACCGCGUGGGUGAAGAAGGCCUUCGGGUUGUAAAGCCCUUUUGUUGGGAAAGAAAAGCAGCAGGUUAAUACCCCGCUGUUCUGACGGUACCCAAAGAAUAAGCACCGGUUAACUUCGUG
rnacentral:rRNA from 1 species